rnacentral:tRNA from 1 species
GGGCGAGUAGCUCAGCACGGAUAGAGCACCAGCCUCCUAAGUUGGGGGUCGAGGGUUCAAAUCCCUCCCCGCCCGCCA